rnacentral:rRNA from 1 species
UGGGGAAUAUUGGACAAUGGGCGAAAGCCUGAUCCAGCCAUGCCGCGUGUGUGAAGAAGGUCUUCGGAUUGUAAAGCACUUUAAGUUGGGAGGAAGGGCAUUAACCUAAUACGUUAGUGUUUUGACGUUACCGACAGAAUAAGCACCGGCUAACUCUGUGCCAGCAGCCGCGGUAAUACAGAGGGUGCAAGCGUUAAUCGGAAUUACUGGGCGUAAAGCGCGCGUAGGUGGUGUGUUAAAUUGGAUGUGAAAUCCCCGGGCUCAACCUGGGAACUGCAUUCAAAACUGACUGACUAGAGUAUGGUAGAGGGUGGUGGAAUUUCCUGUGUAGCGGUGAAAUGCGUAGAUAUAGGAAGGAACACCAGUGGCGAAGGCGACCACCUGGACUAAUACUGACACUGAGGUGCGAAAGCGUGGGGAGCAAACA